CUAAAAGAGGCAAAGUCCAGGACUUCAUCCUCCUGGCCUCCAGGAGGCGCCCUUGUGAUUCUGGAGACCCUUAUUUGAUUGCCUUGCGUUCUGUGACCCUGCCUGCGUACCCUCCCACUGAAGACUACAACAGAGGAGAGGUGCUCUGUGCUGGGUUCAGUAUCUGGGAAGAGGAAAACACUUUCACUAAGAUUUCUUACUACAACCAGGCCACUCCUGGCGUGCUGCCCUAUAUCUCCACUGACAUCGCUGGGCUUUCCUCCAGUUUCUACUGCACCUUUGCCUCAUGUAGCGCUUUCCUGGAGGAGAAUAAAGAGAGUCUGGCUUCCCUGCCCACCUCCACCCUAUGAGAAAGCUGAAUUCAACAUUCUAUGUUCUUCAGAAAUUGAUUUCGUUUCUAAAAAAAAAAAGAUUAGGGUCAAGAUAUAUAGGGUUGACACAGAUAUUCACAUUUGAGUUUAGUAUAAAAGAUCAUGAACUUUAGGUACGUAAAACUCUUAUUUUCCAUACACUCUCAGAAAAUAAAGGCACAAAACUGUCACUGGU